CUGCCUGCCGGCAGGUGAAAUCAGGAUGAAUAAGACUUAUCACUCUUUACAAGAUGGAAUUGAGAAUAUGAGGAAUGCCUACUUAAACGUCAUGAUCAGAUAAGGUUAAAAUGAUAAUAUGCAGAAUAAUAUGACCACCAUCAAGCAACAACUACUUGCAUUACAAUAACACCAGAUGCCAUGUAUGAAUUCCAGGUAUUUAGGUAUAUGUUACUUGAUGGAUGUUUGAAGUUGUGUUUUAAACGGAGAUAGGUUGGCUAAACGGGUAGUCACGAAAAGAAAGAAAGAAAGGCUUUGGUAAUCAUGAUCUCUGUCGCAACCCCCGUCCCCCUAUACAAAACCCGGGAACGGGCGGCUGCGGCCUGUUUCGGUGGUAUUCUGUUUUAGUCUAAUUUGGCAGCGGAAUUUAUAUCAGGACCGUAGUUAGGAAAUAUUUUAUCAGAGUAAAAUACAAC